GGGAGGGCGUUGCACCGAACGGCAAUAAAACGAAACCAAGUCCCAAAUGAAAGCUUGAAGGGUAGGUGGCACGGGUUCUCCUUCUCGUCGCUUCCUCCUCCGCCCGUUCUGCUCGUUAGUUCCAUUUGUUCAUUCGAGUCGAACGAUUCCUGUUUAGAUUCAAUUGUUUUAAAUGGGAUCAACGGAUAAAGCCAUUGAAAUAGAUGUGUUGGAGAGACGAUUGUUGUCAGGUUCAGUUUCAAAUGAAUAUUCUGAAGUUGAUGAAGACACAAUUCUCUACACUGCAUCUUUUGAUGAGAUGGAAGAUAACUAUGUUAAAUACCAAACAGCUCAAUGGAUUCUUUAUUCCUUGCUUUUGGUACUGGCAUGGGGAAUUGGGGUUUUAAUGUUGCUAUAUUUGCCAGUACGAAGAUAUGUCUUACGGAAGGACUUCCGUUCUCGCAAGCUAUAUGUGACUCCUAAUGCUAUUGUGUACAAGGUUUCAAGACCAGUACCUUUUCCUUGUUUUGGAGUUUUGAAGAAAGAGAAGCAUGUGCUGCUAGCAUCAGUUGCAGAUAUAGUUAUUGAACAAGGAUACCUUCAAUCCUUCUUUGGGAUAUAUUCUGUCAGAAUACAUAAUGAAGGUGUAAGAAGGAUUGCGAAUGAUGAUUUUCAGAUCCAAGGAGUUUCUGAUCUAAGGGCUUUCCGUAAGGCUAUUUUAAUGCAUCUUUCAAAUAUAAGGAGUGAUGGUUUCAACAGGCAAACUUCUGUAAAUGAAGAUCCUCAGACAUUUGGUUCUUGUCCUCCAUCUGGUUCUUGGAUAGCCCCGCCUGGAGAUCUGAUAUUGCAGAGACUUGAGGAGGUUGGAAGUUCAAUAAAGAAGGUGCAGACUUUAAUUGAGAAGAAGCCCGAAGCAUCAGAAAUCAUGGACUAACAUCAUCAAAGUCUGUGAGGUUCAAAUCUUUUAGUUGCUCACUUAUUUUGAUCUUUCUGACAAAUAAAAGCAAGUGUUGAGAUUCUUGUAUUUUCUUAAUGUUAACCAGCUGUCCUGCUUAUUCAUGUGGCAAUCUAGAAACUUGUUAAUUGAUAUAGGAAGAUGCUUCUAAGGAGUGGUGUUUAAUUGCAUCAAAUUGUUCGUUUGUCAUUACCUUUUGAAGUUGUGCUAUCUUUGUUCUCCUGAACAUUUAGCAUCUAAGUAGUUGUUCUCUGAUGAUUGAAGUCCCAUAGGCCCAUGAUAUCCUUCCCAAAGCUCCUGUUGGACAUCCACUUCCUGGUGUCCUUUUCAAUUGAGACAACAUAGAAGAUAUCAACGUGUUUAGCUUUUCAAGUAGCCAGAACAGUAGAUUCUUGAUUUUAGGCAUCAUCACCCCUACGGAGCAUGAUGUUUUUCUCUUGUGCACUUACCGUCUUCCUUUUGGCCGUUACAGGAUGAUGAUGGGUGUGCAAUUGUGCUCUCCUGGUGCUGAUGUAUCCACUUCUGAUCAUAAUAACCAUCUUCACCACCCGAAGAGGUCAAUCCUGCUUAACUCUUUACACUUGCAUCUUGGUUGUGACCAUCUUAGAAUAUUUUGUUCUUGCAAAUGUAAGAACCUAGAAACAUAAAAGAUAAUCCAUGAAGCUAUAUAGAAGAUAUCUUUUGACU